rnacentral:rRNA from 1 species
AAUGGGCGAAAGCCUGACCCAGCAACGCCGCGUGAGGGAAGAAGGUUUUCGGAUUGUAAACCUCUGUCGCAGAUGACGAAGAAAGUGACGGUAAUCUGUGAGGAAGCCCCGGCUAACUACGUGCCAGCAGCCGCGGUAAUACGUAGGGGGCGAGCGUUGUCCGGAAUUACUGGGCGUAAAGGGUGCGUAGGCGGUUCUUUAAGUUGGAUGUGAAAUACCCGGGCUUAACCUGGGGGGUGCAUUCAAGACUGGGGAACUAGAGUUCAGGAGAGGGAAGCGGAAUUCCUAGUGUAGCGGUGAAAUGCGUAGAUAUUAGGAGGAACACCAGUGGCGAAGGCGGCUUUCUGGACUGACACUGACGCUGAGGCACGAAAGCGUGGGGAGCAAA